rnacentral:rRNA from 1 species
AGAGUUUGAUCAUGGCUCAGAACGAACGCUGGUGGUAUGCUUAACACAUGCAAGUCGAACGGACGUGGCCUAGCUUGCUAGGAUUCUGUCAGUGGCGCACGGGUGAGUAACGCGUGGGAAUCUACCCAAUAGUAUGGAAUAACAACCAGAAAUGGUUGCUAAUACCAUAUACGCCCUUCGGGGGAAAGAUUUAUUGCUAUUGGAUGGGCCCGCGCUAGAUUAGCUAGUUGGUGAGGUAAUGGCUCACCAAGGCUACGAUCUAUAGCAGGUUUGAGAGGAUGAUCUGCCACACUGGGACUGAGAUACGGCCCAGACUCCUAUGGGAGGCAGCAGUGGGGAAUAUUGGACAAUGGACGAAAGUCUGAUCCAGCCAUGCCGCGUGAGUGAAGAAGGCCUUCGGGUUGUAAAACUCUUUUAACAGGGAAGAUAAUGACGGUACCUGUAGAAUAAGCACCGGUUAACUCCGUGCUAGCAGUUGUGGUAAUACGGAGGGUGCUAGCGUUAUUCGGAAUUACUGGGCGUAAAGCGAGCGUAGGCGGUUAGUAAAGUUGGGAGUGAAAGCCCGGGGCUUAACCUCUGAACUGCUUUCAAAACUGCUAGUCUUGAGUGAAGUAGGGGAUGAUGGAAUUCCUAGUGUAGAGGUGAAAUUCUUAGAUAUUAGGAGGAACACCGGUGGCGAAGGCGGUCAUCUGGACUUCAACUGACGCUGAGGCGCGAAAGCGUGGGGAGCAAACAGGAUUAGAUACCCUGGUAGUCCACGCCGUAAACGAUGAGUGCUAGAUAUUGGGAAUUUCUUUCGGUUUCGUACUUAACACGUUAAGCACUCCGCCUGGGGAGUACGAUCGCAAGAUUAAAACUCAAAGGAAUUGACGGGGGCUCGCACAAGUGGUGGAGCAUGCGGUUUAAUUCGAUGCUACGCGAAAAACCUUACCAACCCUUGACAUGGUGAUCGUAGGUUACAGAAAUGUAACCGUCAGUUUUCGGCUGGAUCACACACAGGUGUUGCAUGGCUGUCGUCAGCUCGUGUCGUGAGAUGUUGGGUUAAGUCCCGCAACGAGCGCAACCCUCAUUCUUAUUUGCCAGCGGCUAGGCCGGGAACUAUAAGAAAACUGCCGGUGAUAAACCGGAGGAAGGUGGGGAUGAUGUCAAGUCAUCAUGGCCCUUACGGGUUGGGCUACACGCGUGCUACAAUGGUACUUACAGAGGGAAGCAAUACGGUGACGUGGAGCAAAUCUCAGAAAGCCGAUUUAGUCCGGAUUGGAGUCUGCAACUCCAGAACAUGAAGUUGGAAUCACGAGUAAUCGCGGAUCAGCAUGCCGCGGUGAAUACGUUCUCGGGCCUUGUACACACUGCCCGUCACGCCAUGGGUGUUGGUUUUACCUGAAGCUGGUGAGCUAACGGCAAGGAAGCAGCCGUCCACGGUAGGGUCAGCGACUGGGGUGAAGUCAUAACAAGGUAACCGUA